UGUACCCCAGAGUGAGGAAUAACUGCCCGAAAGGGUGGCUAAUACCGCAUACGGUCUUCGGAUUAAAGCCUUCGGGCGCUUUGGGAACAGCUUGCGUACGAUUAGAUAGUUGGUGAGGUAAAGGCUCACCAAGUCAACGAUCGUUAACUGGUCUGAGAGGAUGAUCAGUCAGACUGGAACUGAGAUACGGUCCAGACUCCUACGGGAGGCAGCAGUGAGGAAUCUUCCACAAUGGGGGCAACCCUGAUGGAGCAACGCCGCGUGCAGGAUGAAGGCCUUCGGGUCGUAAACUGCUUUUAUAGGUGAAUAAUAUGAAUGUAGCUUAUGAAUAAGCACCGGCUAACUACGUGCCAGCAGCCGCGGUCAUACGUAGGGUGCAAGCAUUAUCCGGAGUGACUGGGCGUAAAGAGUUGCGUAGGUGGUUUGUCAAGUGAAUAGUGAAAUCUGGUGGCUCAACCACACAGACUAUUAUUCAAACUGGCAAACUCGAGAAUAGCAGAGGUAACUGGAAUUUCUAGUGUAGGAGUGAAAUCCGUAGAUAUUAGAAGGAACACCAAUGGCGUAGGCAGGUUACUG
rnacentral:rRNA from 1 species